rnacentral:rRNA from 1 species
GACGAACGCUGGCGGCGUGCUUAACACAUGCAAGUCGAACGGAAAGGCCCUGCUUUUGUGGGGUGCUCGAGUGGCGAACGGGUGAGUAACACGUGAGUAACCUGCCCUUGACUUUGGGAUAACUUCAGGAAACUGGGGCUAAUACCGGAUAGGAGCUCCUGCUGCAUGGUGGGGGUUGGAAAGUUUCGGCGGUUGGGGAUGGACUCGCGGCUUAUCAGCUUGUUGGUGGGGUAGUGGCUUACCAAGGCUUUGACGGGUAGCCGGCCUGAGAGGGUGACCGGCAAAAUUGGAACUGAGAUACGGCCAAGACUCCUACGGGAGGCAGCGGUGGGGAAUAUUGCACAAUGGGCGGAAGCCUGAUGCAGCAACGCCGCGUGCGGGAUGACGGCCUUCGGGUUGUAAACCGCUUUCGCCUGUGACGAAGCGUGAGUGACGGUAAUGGGUAAAGAAGCAACGGCUAACUACGUG